rnacentral:lncRNA from 10 species
GCCGCUGGACCUGGGGAUGGCACCAGGCAGCAUCUCAGGGGACGCCAACUGUGACCAUGUGUCCCUCAGGGGGUAGGACCUCUGCUCAAGAGACAUGCAAGUGGCACCUGUCUUUUUAGCCUUGCAGACACGGUGGCGCCCCCAGGGAUCCCACCUGCUGUUGUGGCUGCAUAUAGUCACUCCCACCACUGCCCCUGCAGCACCGAGGGGCAGGUGCCCUGGGUCCUGUUACCUACUGCGUCCCACGCAGACGCAGGCCUGGGGGGCUCCAAAAGCUUGUUCUCCACUCAGCCUGUAGGCCUCCUCCUUGAUCCUGCUUGGCCUGCAGACCCUCCUCCCACCCCUUGAACCAGGGCAUCUGGAUGCUGACUCUGUGGUGGCCUCUGAUGUCUGACACCACCAACAGACCCUGGGCCAGGUCCCUACCCCAGACUCUGUGCCUGAGGCCAUGGUAUAGUGGGGAAGACCAGGCUCAGGGCCCUAGAGUCCCCCUCCCAGCCCAUCUGAGCAACGUGGCCAUCUCCAUGGCUCCUCCAACCCAGAAAUGUCAUCACCCAUGGGCCAGGCAAGGAGCUCCCAGCCAUGAGGUCAGACGGGGUGGUCCCAGGGCCAAGGCUAUGGACUGACUUCUGUCACCAAGGCAGGGAGGGGCGUGGACACCCCUGACAGACAGAGUGUGCUUGGCAGAAGCCCGGUGACCAGCUGCAGUCACCCACAGCAGCGUUGUGCAAAUCUAGAAAAAGUGCCCCUUCCUCUGGCUCCUGCAGUUCCAGGGUGCCCAGGCCCCCAGCCAAGAGCGUGUACAGGUGGCCCUGCUGACACACAGAAUCCUUGGGAGAACAAAGCCUCCCCGGGGUUCGGGGACAGGUGGAUGGGAGGUAGUCCUGGCCAGAGGUAUCUGGGGAGGCUGGGGGCCUU